UACGAAGGGUGCAAACGUUGCUCGGAAUUAUUGGGCGUAAAGCGCACGUAGGCGGCAUUGCAAGUCGGAUGUGAAAUCUUAUGGCUUAACCAUAAAAGUGCAUCCGAAACUGCAGUGCUUGAGUACUUAAGAGGAUCGCGGAAUUCCCGGUGUAGAGGUGAAAUUCGUAGAUAUUGGGAAGAACACCGGUGGCGAAGGCGGCGAGCUGGUCCAUUACUGACGCUGAGGCGCGACAGCGUGGGGAGCAAACAGG
rnacentral:rRNA from 1 species